UGAGGAAUAUUGGUCAAUGGAGGAAACUCUGAACCAGCCAAGUCGCGUGAAGGAAGAAUGUCCUAAGGAUUGUAAACUUCUUUAGCGAGCGAGUAAGGACUUCCACGUGAUGGGAGUUUGAAAGUAGCUCGAGAAUAAGUAUCGGCUAACUCCGUGCCAGCAGCCGCGGUAAUACGGAGGAUACGAGCGUUAUCCGGAUUUAUUGGGUUUAAAGGGAGCGUAGGCUGUCUAUUAAGCGUGUUGUGAAAUUUACCGGCUCAACCGGUGGCUUGCAGCGCGAACUGGUCGACUUGAGUAUGCAGGAAGUAGGCGGAAUUCAUGGUGUAGCGGUGAAAUGCUUAGAUAUCAUGACGAACUCCGAUUGCGCAGGCAGCUUACUGUAGCAUAACUGACGCUGAUGCUCGAAAGUGCGGGUAUCAAACAGG
rnacentral:rRNA from 1 species